rnacentral:rRNA from 1 species
AGCAGCCGCCGCGGUAAUACGUAGGUGGCAAGCGUUGUCCGGAAUUAUUGGGCGUAAAGGGCUCGCAGGCGGUUUCUCAAGUCUGAUGUGAAAGCCCCCGGCUCAACCGGGGAGGGUCAUUGGAAACUGGGAAACUUGAGUGCAGAAGAGGAGAGUGGAAUUCCACGUGUAGCGGUGAAAUGCGUAGAGAUGUGGAGGAACACCAGUGGCGAAGGCGACUCUCUGGUCUGUAACUGACGCUGAGGAGCGAAAGCGUGGGGAGCGAACAGGAUUAGAUACCCCGGUAGUCCCUGUCUCUUAUAC